rnacentral:rRNA from 1 species
GUGGGGAAUAUUGGACAAUGGGCGCAAGCCUGAUCCAGCCAUGCCGCGUGAGUGAUGACGGCCUUAGGGUUGUAAAGCUCUUUUACCUGGGAAGAUAAUGACGGUACCAGGAGAAUAAGCCCCGGCUAACUUCGUGCCAGCAGCCGCGGUAAUACGAAGGGGGCUAGCGUUGUUCGGAUUUACUGGGCGUAAAGGGCGCGUAGGCGGGCGAUUAAGUCAGGGGUGAAAUCCCAAGGCUCAACCUUGGAACUGCCUUUGAUACUGAUUGUCUUGAGUCCGGGAGAGGUGAGUGGAACUGCGAGUGUAGAGGUGAAAUUCGUAGAUAUUCGCAAGAACACCAGUGGCGAAGGCGGCUCACUGGCCCGGAACUGACGCUGAGGCGCGAAAGCGUGGGGAGCAAACAGG